AACGAACGCUGGCGGCAGGCUUAACACAUGCAAGUCGAACGCACCUUCGGGUGAGUGGCAGACGGGUGAGUAACGCGUGGGAACCUACCUAUCGGUUCGGAAUAACGUUCGGAAACGGACGCUAAUACCGGAUAAGCCCUUUGGGGGAAAGAUUUAUCGCCGAUUGAUGGGCCCGCGUUGGAUUAGCUAGUUGGUGUGGUAACGGCGCACCAAGGCGACGAUCCAUAGCUGGUCUAAGAGGAUGAUCAGCCACACUGGGACUGAGACACGGCCCAGACUCCUACGGGAGGCAGCAGUGGGGAAUAUUGGACAAUGGGCGCAAGCCUGAUCCAGCCAUGCCGCGUGAGUGAUGAAGGCCUUAGGGUUGUAAAGCUCUUUCGCUAGGGAAGAUAAUGACGGUACCUAGUAAAGAAGCCCCGGCUAACUUCGUGCCAGCAGCCGCGGUAA
rnacentral:rRNA from 1 species